UUUGUAUUUGAAGCAGGCUUGUUAUGUAAUUAGUAGCAACAUGUCUCUCAGUUUAUCUCUAAAGAUAAAUUUCGAUAGAAGGUAAAUUUCUGGAAAUUCCUCAGGACUCACAUUGUGUGUUUUUCAGAGAACUAAAUUGUUCAAGUCAUUCCAUCGAAAUCUUGAAACGUACAUUGUUGUGGAUAAAAAUCUGUUUGAUUACAUGGGCUCUGAUAUAAAGGCUGUAACACAGAAGAUUAUUCAGAUAAUUGGCUUUGUUAACACUAUGCUUACCCAGUUAAAAAUGACUGUUGUAAUAUCUUCCAUAGAAAUCUGGUCAAAUAAAAACAAAAUUUCUACUAUAGG